CCUACGGGAGGCAGCAGUAGGGAAUCUUCCACAAUGGACGCAAGUCUGAUGGAGCAACGCCGCGUGAGUGAAGAAGGCUUUCGGGUCGUAAAACUCUGUUGUUGGAGAAGAAUGGUCGGCUAGAGUAACUGUUGUCGGCGUGACGGUAUCCAACCAGAAAGCCACGGCUAACUACGUGCCAGCAGCCGCGG
rnacentral:rRNA from 1 species